rnacentral:tRNA from 1 species
GGCUCGUUAUUCUAGGGUUAUUAUUCUUGCUUAGGGUGCGAGAGGUCCCGGGUUCAAAUCCCGGAUGAGCCC